CUUGACUGAAAUGUUUCUCAUAAUCUUACCGACCUUAUUUUUGGCGAAAACAUUAGUGACGCCAUAUUCGAGCUUUUUGUGUUUAAUAAACGUUAAACGGCAGGAAUUUGCGGGGAGUUAGCACAAAUAAAACGAAAGUUGUGAUGGAUCCUGCAGCUCGGUGGAGACCUGCGAUACAACCAGCCGUCUCCAUUCUUCUAAUGUUGUCUCAACUAUUACACAUUCCAUAUCUUCUGGACUACGAACCUCCCUGUAAACCAACCCAUCCUUAUGAAAGGUAAUACACUUUCAAAUUGCAUUACCACAGUUAACGGGAUUUGAGCCUUCAUCUUUUCUCCUUGAGGUUGUAACAGUUCAACGUCUGCAUAUCAUCAUCGCCAGACUACACUUCCCAUAAUCCCCAGCACCCGUCUCACCUGAUCUUCAUUAUUGGACUCUAGUUGUUUAUCUUCAUGAUCUGUGUAUCCCUCAUUUUCUGUUGUAUCUAAGUUCUCCCCUUCCAAGUGUUCUUUGUCUAGUAUUGUUUGUGAAUGUUGAUGGUGUCGUGUAUCUCCUGUGGUUCCCGUCGAUUCAAGUAAACCCGUUUGAGUACCUGAUCAUCUUCCUGCACGAACCCUUACAGAAGUUAGGACCUACUAAGCAUUUUUUCUUGUUGUUGUUUGCUAGUCGCAUGAAUCAAUAUUCUUUUAUUGUUCAUAAAUCUUGCAAAUUUAAAUGUAACAAUUUCAUUCUCUAUCGCCCUGGUAAGUUUCAUUGGGUG